AUAUACCAUAUAUAAUACCAAUAUACGUGGGCUUUAUUAAAUAUAAAUACAUACGAUUUGUUGUGAAAAUAUGUAGUCCAAAAGAUAAAUUCAGACAGUGAAGAAUCAGAUAAUAACGAAGGAAAUGAUGAGAUUGAAGCUGAAGUAGCGCCAAAAGAACCCACUUCCUAUACACUACUGGAUUUACUAUAGUAUAGUAUCUCACGAGAUGAAUAUGCUAUAGAUCCCUAAUACCGUAGAAAAAGCCUGCACUGGGUUUUAUGGUGAAAGUUCCUCUCUCUUCCUGUCUUUUUAUCCAUCCUAUCAUUUUAUACCGCGUUAGCACGCGGUUGACUGCAUUGGCUAUAUGUGUAUGUACAUAUAUAGAGCAUGAAGGGUAUAGAAAGAAAAUUGCAAAAAUUAUAAUCUCCAUUUAGGAAAAUGAUGAACCAAGGGACUUGUUGUUACUCUUGCAUACCUUCACAUUCAAUUCAAUUGCAAUGUUUAAUUCCUUAAUAUAAAUUUUUAAUUCGUUGAAAAAAUAUUUAGAUUCAAAGAGAAUAGUUAAAGAAAGUAGUUAUCCUAAUUAAUAUCUUUUUCUUUAUUUCUUGACAUCGAUAUUAUUAUCGUUUAUUUCGCAAUGGUCUUCGUUAAUAUUUUGCCCUCUUUAGUUGAAAUGUCCUAUUUACCACACCUAAAGGAAAUUUAAAUUUUAUCAUUUUCUUUGUAACAUCUUUUGAUUUUUCUUCAUUGAAUUUAAAAUAUUUAAUUAUUAUUUUAUGACAGCCUGUGUAAUUUUACUUAAAAGAUAAAAUACACGUGGAACUUGAAAUAUUUCAAUGUACAUAUGUUGAAAUCUGAAAAAAUACCAGAUAAGACAUUUUAAUUAAGGAAGGCAGUGUUGUCCCACCUGUCUCUAUAGAAAUAAUUACUUGCUAUAUUUUUAAUUUCAGUAUUCCGAAUUCUUCCCUCCUUUGCUACCAUCAAAGUUGCAAGAGGACAAUACAUGUAUUAUGGGAAAUUACCGGAGAUCAUUGAUUUGCAAUCCAUCAGACUGUGUUAUUCUUCUUCGGGUAGAAAGUUACGAGAUUCAAGUGAAUCUUCGAAUUACGUGCAUGAAAUGUAGAUGGAGCAUUAUAAUACUCCAGCUUACACAAUCGAAACGAUUUAUUUCGUUUUUCGACCAUACACAGAGAAUCCAGUUCACACGAAUGAGUUUCGUAGCAUAAGCGUAGGAAGAUAGCAAAACUUAUCGAAUGCCGGGUGAAAGGACGUCACUCCAGAUCUAGAGAAACAAGUGUGGAACAAUGCCAGAUCAGCGCUGCCAUUUCAUUACCCAUGCAACCUGUUGAUCCUCGUAAUGAGUCGUACAUGAAUUAAUGAAUAAAUGAAAGGUAAACAACACUACGAGCUAUUGUACACUUUUAUUGUUUCCUUUGGAGCAGACAGGACAUACUAAAUUUUCUUUUAUCGCUUAUGGCGCUCAAGGAUUGGCGCACGUGCGAUGAAAACACGAAUAUGCCUC